rnacentral:rRNA from 1 species
CUGCUCAGUAACACGUGGACAACCUACCCUAUGGAGGGGGAUAACCCCGGGAAACUGGGGAUAAUACCCCAUAGACUAUAGAUGCUGGAAUGCUUUGUAGUUGAAAGGUCAGCCGCCAUAGGAUGGGUCUGCGGCCGAUUAGGUUGUUGUUGGGGUAACGGCCCAACAAGCCUGUAAUCGGUACGGGUUGUGGGAGCAAGAGCCCGGAGAUGGAUUCUGAGACACGAAUCCAGGCCCUACGGGGCGCAGCAGGCGCGAAAACUUUACAAUGCGGGAAACCGUGAUAAGGGAACUCCGAGUGCCCGUAAAAUCGGGCUGUCCAUCUGUUUAAAUAACAGGUGAAGAAAGGGCCGGGCAAGACCGGUGCCAGCCGCCGCGGUAAUACCGGCGGCUCGAGUGGUGGCCACUAUUACUGGGCUUAAAGCGUUCGUAGCUGGUCUGUUAAGUCUCUGGGGAAAUCUACUGGCUUAACCAAUAGGCGUCUCAGGGAUACUGGCAGACUAGGGACCGGGAGAGGUGAGAGGUACUCCAGGGGUAGGAGUGAAAUCCUGUAAUCCUUGGGGGACCACCUGUGGCGAAGGCGUCUCACCAGAACGGCUCCGACAGUGAGGGACGAAAGCUGGGGGAGCAAACCGGAUUAGAUACCCGGGUAGUCCCAGCUGUAAACGAUGCGC